rnacentral:rRNA from 1 species
AGUAACGGCGAGUGAAGCGGCAACAGCUCAAAUUUGAAAUCUGGCGCAAGCACAACUUGUAAUUCCCCACAGAUGUUUCUGACGACGUGCCUCCGGAGUCCCCAGGAACAAAAAACAAGAGAUGAGGAGAGAAACGUACGGUUGGAGCAAGAGCCACGAGGAAACUCCUGCGACGAGGCGAGUUGUUUGGGA